rnacentral:lncRNA from 1 species
AUGAAUAGUUGCUCUGCCUAAUUUGCAAAUUUGAAGUUCUCUCUCAAGUUUAGACAUAACUGUUAUAACUUAAAGCUUGCUGUAGAUCUAAAUUUGUGGGAUAAAAACUUGAUCUGAAAUCUAAGUUGUUAACGGAUAUGAUAUGGGAAGGUUGAACUGCUGUUUAUCUGUUCCUAGACAUGCUAGAAUUCUGAAGAAUUUUAUCUUUGAAAAAAUCUUUAAAAUAUUGCAUGAUGAGUUCCUGUAUGAUGAAAGUUUAAAUUCCUACCACAGCCAUAUAUACAUACUUGCUAGACUUUGAGCCACACAUUUACUAUUUACUGCUUAUGAGCAUUGAGUGUGGUCAAGCUGUGUACACCCUUAGGAGCUUGUCAUGUGGUUAAAUCAAGAUUUCACUUGCACAUUCACUCAUACAUUCUACUUCUACUCCGAAAGUACCAUCCACAUAUAUCCACUCAUUUCCAUCUCCAAAACCACCCAAAAAUAUUCUACUCCUAAUCCGGGAGAGAAUAACCAAAAAUAUUUCUGUUUUUCCUUGUGAAAUAAAUGCUCAAGUUAUCUUGUUACUACCACUUGCUAUAUUAUCUCAUGAGAUGAGUGCUCUAAAAAAAGGAGGAGAGAAAAAAUAUACGAGGAAAUAAAAAGAGGCAAGUGCCCGGAUCCUCGAAAGAAAAAGAAAAAGAGUGAGACGAGAGGUAAAAAUGGACAAGUGUCCGACAGUAGAAUUAGGGGUACAGGAUACCCACCUGAGAGGAAAGAAAAAAAAUGAAAGAUAGAGCAUCUCAUUCUCCUCAUAAAUUUUCAAAAAGCAAGGAAGGUAUGUAUCCCUUCAAAAGAGCAAAAGUAGAAUUAGACUUCCACCAUUGUUAUCACCAUCAUCACCAUACACCAUUCAUUCGCCACACAUGCACAUCUUGAUUUGACUUAUUGACUUGUUUCUCUGGAUCCAUGGUUUGACUAUGCAAUAAAUGUCUUGUAAGUAUGUAUUAGCUGUCUCCCACCUAUGAGCUCCAGACAUUAAAGCCUUAUUAGAGUAGGGUGAGAGAGAAGGCAAUGUCACUAUGCAUUAUACCACAAAUACCACAUAUCUUGAGAGAAGGCAUAUACCAUCACUGCCUUGGUAAGGAUCCAGAAAUACCGCAAAAGAGAGAUUUAGAGAGUCAUACAAGGAAUCUCUGAGUUUUAUUUGAAAAUCUGCAAAAACUCUAGAGCUAUAGCUGAUCAAGAAUAAGAGACAUGGCACUUGGCUAGACUGUUCUAUCUUUUAACUACUCAAGAC